rnacentral:rRNA from 1 species
GGGCAGCAUUUUAGUUUGCUUGCAAACUAAAGAUGGCGACCGGCGCACGGGUGAGUAACACGUAUCCAACCUGCCGAUAACUCGGGGAUAGCCUUUCGAAAGAAAGAUUAAUAUCCGAUAGUAUAUUAAAACCGCAUGAUUUUACUAUUAAAGAAUUUCGGUUAUCGAUGGGGAUGCGUUCCAUUAGUUUGUUGGCGGGGUAACGGCCCACCAAGACUACGAUGGAUAGGGGUUCUGAGAGGAAGGUCCCCCACAUUGGAACUGAGACACGGUCCAAACUCCUACGGGAGGCAGCAGUGAGGAAUAUUGGUCAAUGGACGAGAGUCUGAACCAGCCAAGUAGCGUGAAGGAUGACUGCCCUAUGGGUUGUAAACUUCUUUUAUAUGGGAAUAAAGUAUUCCACGUGUGGGAUUUUGUAUGUACCAUAUGAAUAAGGAUCGGCUAACUCCGUGCCAGCAGCCGCGGUAAUACGGAGGAUCCGAGCGUUAUCCGGAUUUAUUGGGUUUAAAGGGAGCGUAGGUGGAUUGUUAAGUCAGUUGUGAAAGUUUGCGGCUCAACCGUAAAAUUGCAGCUGAAACUGGCAGUCUUGAGUACAGUAGAGGUGGGCGGAAUUCGUGGUGUAGCGGUGAAAUGCUUAGAUAUCACGAAGAACUCCGAUUGCGAAGGCAG